CGUAGGGUGCGAGCGUUAAUCGGAAUUACUGGGCGUAAAGCGUGCGCAGGCGGUUAUGUAAGACUGGUGUGAAAUCCCCGGGCUUAACCUGGGAACUGCAUUUGUGACUGCAUAGCUAGAGUACGGUAGAGGGGGAUGGAAUUCCGCGUGUAGCAGUGAAAUGCGUAGAUAUGCGGAGGAACACCGAUGGCGAAGGCAAUCCCCUGGACCUGUACUGACGCUCAUGCACGAAAGCGUGGGGAGCAAACAGGAUUAGAUACCCUGGUAGUCCACGCCCUAAACGAUGUCAACUGGUUGUUGGGUCUUCACUGACUCAGUAACGAAGCUAACGCGUGAAGUUGACCGCCUGGGGAGUACGGCCGCAAGGUUG
rnacentral:rRNA from 1 species